rnacentral:lncRNA from 1 species
GGGAAGAAUGUAACAGGAAAUAAUGGAGAAAAAAACUGACAUUUUUACUAACCUUGUUAGCAAACUAAACACAUGCUGUUACUCGUAUCAAAACAUAACCACAAACUAAUGAGAUCUAGCACAUUAUUUUACAGCACCCAAGACUGCUGGCAGUUUGCAAAAUAAAUUAAGAGACAAAACUUACCCCAAAGGAAUUUACAGUGUAAUUUUAGAUACGACACAGGGUAACACAGUGACAAAAAAGAAAAUUAGGGACAGGGAUGAUAAGUGUUAGACAGUGUCAUGGUGUGCAUACUUUAAUGACUGCUUCAGAUCUUUAAAUACAAUUAUGUCCUUUCUCCUCUAGCUCUUUUAAUGCUGCCACUCUUCUUUGACUGCUACUGUGUGAAGUUUUUUGUUAGAAAUACUCAAACAGAACACACAUGAAGGAAGUCCUUUGAAAGCAGAAGUUUCUCCACUGAAGAAAGAUAAUUUCCUCCCAGGAAAUUUCAUAUAUUCUGGUCAGGUUUUUUCAGUUGUUUGUCGAAACACUGCUGUCCUGUUCUGCAAUUUGAUGUCUCUGAAAAGGGUUUCAGCUACUAUCAACUAUUAA